UAUUCUCUGUGUGUGCCAUUGCAAGAAAUAGUUUUGCUCGUUAUUUUGUCAUAUUAAAAAAAAUUCUCAACAAAAUUUUCCCGUUUAAACUGUACUAGAAAAAAGUUUGGCAUGUGAAACGGACGAAGACAUAUUCUAACAGAAGUACAAAUACCAGUCCUCCCUUUUGUGUAUACAUAUGAGAAAACAUUUCAAAGUUAUUGAUUGAAUUCAAAUCCAUCACACAUACGGUACACAUUGUAGUCCGAAAAAAUAAAGGACUUCAUUCCUAUCAAACAC
rnacentral:lncRNA from 1 species